AGCUCUGCCUCUGCCGGCUGUCGGCCACGGGGGGACGGGGGCUUGGCCACCGAUCGGUCAAAGUGGCCCGGAUGACGGUGACGUAGCUGCGCGCGCGCCAUCCGAGUACGGGUAUGGUCGGCCGGAUGCCACUGGCUAUCCAGAUCCGGGUACUGACUGACGUAAGCGCACCUACCUUACGUUGGCAGUCCACCACUUCCGGAACCGGACGGGCCGGGGGACGGCCUGGUUGGCCACCCGCCGCCACUCUCCGUCCCUCUAUCGAUCAGCACUGCUGCAUUGCCGGAAGAUGUUCCGCCGCCGGGAACUGUGGGUAGUCGCCUCUAC
rnacentral:lncRNA from 1 species